UAGUCACCACUGCCACCACCAUCACCACCAUCAGUUCCUCGGCCACAGAGGCCUGCACAGCUGGCAGGCUCUCUCUGCCUGCAACCAGUGAAGGAAAAAAAGGAAAGGAGAAGGAGGAAAAGGGGCAGGAUAAGGAGCUCAAGGAUCAGGUCAAGCAAUAAUUUACCCAGGACUCCCAGCCAGACACCAAGUUGCAGAAGCCACCAUGACCACCAACUGACUCCCCUGGGCAGAAAACUUCACCAGUGUAUCCUGGAAUUCCAUCUCUCCGGAGCCCUGCCCCACUAGGGAAAGAUAGAAACAGGCUACCUCUCAAUGCCCAUGUCAGUGGAGAAGCAAUUACAGAAGCCAGACCUUCCACCUUCUGCACUCCAUAAUGGUCCUGGGUCCAUCCUCUCAGAGAGAUAAAGAAUAGGAAAGCUUCCAGUGGAGGAGAUUGGAUAUAGAACUCUGGUGGUGGGAAAUGUGUGGAAAUUUACCCUUCUUAUACUAUGAUUUUGUUGAUAUUUUCUAUUUUGUAAAUAAAUUAAAUUAAGAAAAAAAAAGUAUAGGAGUCGGGUGGGCAGACAAUGGGAACUGAGCCCAAAGCUAUGGUAGGUUCUUUACAUGUAUCAUCAACUGGCUUUUAUCCAAUAACAUGAAAAAUAUGGUACCAUAGUGUCCUUUUAUUUCUUCAAACAGAUGAUAUAAAUGAGGUUCACAGAAAUUUAGUUAGCUAUUUAAGCCACAGAGCCUAUAGCAGUGCAGGAAUGCACCUUGGUCUGCUUGUUCUAGGACAUUCAAUCAUCUGUUAUAUGUCUGGGAAUAUAUAUUCCACUCUGGGAAUAUCCUGCCAUCAUCCAGGACUUCUCUCAAAAGCAACCGGUCACAUAGAAAGAGACACUGUCAACUCUCUAGAUGUAUUUGGUCACAGAGGACAAAAUCAGCCCUCCAUCUUUAAACUCAUGGCCCAGCAAACAGAAAUAUCUGUGCUUCUUCUUCUUCUAGCAUCACUGGAGACCAGUGGCAAUGUGGACCCAAACAUCUCACCCCAAAUCUGCACUGGCUGCACACAAGGGCACAGACCUUCCUGGGUCAAGUAUUGCCCUGCUAGGCAGGAAGCAGUCAAACAGCAAACCAAGCAAGGCAAAGCAAAGCAAGGCAACUGAGACAAGAGACUUCUACCCAGUUGCCAGUCAGGCAGGGCAAUUCAAAAUGUAACCG